UACAGAGGUGGCAAGCGUUGUUCGGAAUUACUGGGCGUAAAGGGCGCGUAGGCGGCCUUCUAAGUCGGACGUGAAAGCCCCAGGCUUAACCUGGGAACUGCGUCCGAUACUGGGAGGCUUGGAUUCGGGAGAGGGAUGUGGAAUUCCAGGUGUAGCGGUGAAAUGCGUAGAUAUCAGGAAGAACACCCGUGGCGAAGGCGGCUCUCUGGAACGCAACUGACGCUGAGACGCGAAAGCGUGGGGAGCAAACAGG
rnacentral:rRNA from 1 species